rnacentral:lncRNA from 1 species
AGCACCGCUGUUGUCCCCCCCCCGGGCCCGGGGGCCCCCCGGGGCCCCUCAGGGACCCCCCCCCCAGCCAUGGGGGGAGCCCCCAGCCCCUUGCCCCCAGGCCUUGGUCACUGCCAUGGCCCUGCUUGAGGUCCCAGAGCUGGGCCUGGGGAGCACUGGGAGGCCUGGGGGGGGCACUGGGGGGCAACUGGGGGCAACUGGGAGGGGUGGGGGGCAACUGGGGGCAGAUUGGGGGGGGCUGUAAUGGCGGCCAUGGGGGCAGGGAGCUGGGGUAGGACGGUCCCGCGGCCUCACCGCCGCCCCCCCAGCCCUGCCCCAGCUCCCUGCACGCCCCGGGGGUCGUUUCGGUGGGACUGGGAGUGCUGGGAUGGGGGGGUACUGGGGAAACUGGGGGAACUGGGGGGAGGCCGCGUGGACUACAACUCCCAGCAUGCCCCGCGGCGUAGGGAGCGAGAGGGAGGGGUCAAUGGCGGCGCGCUCCCGUGAUGCACCGCGCCAGCGGCGGGCCACGAGGAGGAGGAGGAAAGGGGAGGGGGGACUACAACUCCCAGCAUGCCCUGCGGCGGGACUACAACUCCCAGCGUGCCCCGCGGCAUCUCCACUUCCGGGAUUUCCGGGAGCGGGAGGCGGAGGGGCGCUGAGCCGCCAUGCGGGUUUCGGCCCUGCUGGGCCUGGCGGCGCGGCCCCGGCUGCCCCCCGGGUACCGGCACGGGACGUGGCGCCCCGGAACCGCCCCCGAGCAGCGCAGGAACCCCCCCGGGCAGCGCCGCAACAAAGUGUUCGUGGAGCCCCUGAGCAGGGACGAGUGGAAGGUGUUCCGAGGGGACACGGUGAGCGGGGAGGGGACACCCCCACCCCCCAAAUCCCAUCCCUAAUUGGGAGCCGGGAGCCCCCCAAUUGGGAUCUGGGGACCCUUCCCCCCUAAUUGGGAUCUGGAGGCCACUCCCCCUUAAUAGGGACUCCCCCUCCCCCUUUAAUUGAGAUCCAGGGAGUCCCCCCCCCUAAGUGGGACCCGGUCCCCCCCCUCCCCCUUAAUAGGGACCCGGG